rnacentral:rRNA from 1 species
AUUGAACGCUGGCGGCAGGCCUAACACAUGCAAGUCGAGCGCGAAAGUUCUUCGGAAUGAGUAAGGCGGCGGACGGGUGAGUAAUACAUGGGAAUCUGCCUGGUAGUGGGGGACAACGUUUCGAAAGGAACGCUAAUACCGCAUACGCCCUACGGGGGAAAGGGGGGGAUCUUCGGACCUCUCGCUAUCAGAUGAGCCCA